UGGGGAAUUUUGGACAAUGGGGGCAACCCUGAUCCAGCCAUGCCGCGUGUGUGAAGAAGGCCUUCGGGUUGUAAAGCACUUUCGGACGGAACGAAAUCGCGCGAUCUAAUAAGUCGCGUGGAUGACGGUACCGUAAGAAGAAGCACCGGCUAACUACGUGCCAGCAGCCGCGGUAAUACGUAGGGUGCGAGCGUUAAUCGGAAUUACUGGGCGUAAAGUGUGCGCAGGUGGCUGAGCAAGUCGAGUGUGAAAUCCCCGGGCUUAACUUGGGAAUUGCGCUCGAAACUACUUGGCUCGAGUGUGGCAGAGGAAGGUGGAAUUCCAGGUGUAGCGGUGAAAUGCGUAGAGAUCUGGAGGAACACCGAUGGCGAAGGCAGCCUUCUGGGCCAACACUGACGCUCAUGCACGAAAGCGUGGGGAGCAAACAGGAUUAGAUACCCUGGUAGUCCACGCCCUAAACGAUGAUGACUAGUUGU
rnacentral:rRNA from 1 species